UCGAGAAUCUUUCGCAAUGGGCGCAAGCCUGACGAAGCGACGCCGUGUGUAUGAUGAAGGCCCUCGGGUUGUAAAGUACUUUCGCUUGGGAGCAAGAAAGGUUGGCUAAUAUCCAACCAAUUUGACUGUACCAGGUAAAGAAGCACCGGCUAACUCCGUGCCAGCAGCUGCGGUAAUACGGAGGGUGCAAGCGUUAAUCGGAUUUAUUGGGCGUAAAGGGCGCGUAGGCGGGGAGGCAAGUUAGAUGUGAAAUCCUGGGGCUCAACUCCAGACCCGCAUCUAAUACUGCUUUUCUAGAGGAUGGAUGGAGAAAAGGGAAUUCCACGUGUAGCGGUGAAAUGCGUAGAUAUGUGGAAGAACACCGGUGGCGAAGGCGCUUUUCUAAUUCAUUCCUGACGCUGAAGCGCGAAAGCAAGGGGAGCAAACAGGAUUAGAUACCCCCGUAGUCC
rnacentral:rRNA from 1 species